CAUGUAGUGUCGCUGACUCUUGUGAUUUUCUUCAUUUCUUUUGUUCUACCACCUACCUGAGGAAAUACUUUAAUAUUUCCAGUGAGCAGGCUCCUUAAGGGAGUCCCUAACUGCUCAAAAUGUGGUCCACAGAAGGACAGCCUGGGCAUCACCUGGGAGCUUGUUAAAAAUGCUCAAUCUUAGGCUCCAGCCCAUAAAUGCUGAUGUAGAUCUGAAUUUUAAUAAGACCCCUUCUUGUUUCAUGAGCAAGGUAAAGUUUGAGAAGCAGUGAUCUGGGCCACAUCUGGUCUUCUAAGCAAUUCUGAGAGGGAUUUUAGAGCCUGUUUUUAGUACUUCCAAUAGAGAUGCCACUGGUGUAAAAUUUGCUGGACAGCUAAACUCUGCCUACUUAUAAUUUCUAUACUUAGUCCUUAUUUCAUCUCUUUAGAGCAAAUGAAUAAGUCUAAUAUGAGCCAUCUAAUUAAUAUUUGAAGGCAGAUAAUAUUUCCCAACUCCUUGCAUCCAGUUCCUUCCUCUCUUUCUCUCUCAUCUCUCUUUCAUUGCCUGUUGCUUACUCUUCCUUCACCCCUCCCUUUUAUCUCUUUUCAUGCUAAGCAUUUAUUUUCAGCCGUUCCCUGUUUUACCUGGCCUCCAAACUUUUCAACCUAACUAUUCCUAUUUUAUUAAUGGACACUAGUUACCUACCUGUCCGUUUAUUAUAUGUGUUGUAAAAAAGUGCAGGGACUGUUUAAAAUUGUAGAACAGAGAUCUACUGCUGCUGAUUCUGAAAUAUUUAAAAGCAUUCUCUUGGCGUGUACCAGGCCACGAUAUCUAGGAGGACCCAGUGAGUGACAAUAGUGUUUCAGAUGUGAUUGUUAGGUAUAGUGAAAAAAAAAAAAAAAAA